AUUGAACGCUGGCGGCAUGCCUUACACAUGCAAGUCGAACGGCAGCACGGGAGCAAUCCUGGUGGCGAGUGGCGAACGGGUGAGUAAUAUAUCGGAACGUGCCCAGUCGUGGGGAUAACGUAGCGAAAGCUACGCUAAUACCGCAUACGAUCUAUGGAUGAAAGCGGGGGAUCGCAAGACCUCGCGCGAUUGGAGCGGCCGAUAUCAGAUUAGGUAGUUGGUGAGGUAAAGGCUCACCAAGCCGACGAUCUGUAGCUGGUCUGAGAGGACGACCAGCCACACUGGGACUGAGACACGGCCCAGACUCCUACGGGAGGCAGCAGUGGGGAAUUUUGGACAAUGGGCGCAAGCCUGAUCCAGCAAUGCCGCGUGCAGGAUGAAGGCCUUCGGUUGUAACGUGUCUUUGUACGGUAACGAAACGGUAAGG
rnacentral:rRNA from 1 species